GGGGUUGUGGCUCAGAGGUAGAGCGCUUGCUUAUUAGCAUGUGUGAGGCACUGGGUUUGAUCCUCAGCACCACA
rnacentral:tRNA from 1 species